rnacentral:rRNA from 1 species
GACGAACGCUGGCGGCGUGCCUAACACAUGCAAGUCGAGCGGAGAUAGACUGAUGGUAACUGAAGCUUAUCUUAGCGGCGGACGGGUGAGUAACACGUGGGCAACCUGCCUUGGAGUGGGGGAUAACACCGGGAAAUCGGUGCUAAUACCGCAUAACAUACACAUACUGCAUGGUGAGUGUAUCAAAGGAGCAAUCCGCUUUAAGAUGGGCCCGCGGCUGAUUAGCUAGUUGGUAAGGUAACGGCUUACCAAGGCGACGAUCAGUAGCCGACCUGAGAGGGUGACCGGCCACACUGGAACUGAGACACGGUCCAGACUCCUACGGGAGGCAGCAGUGGGGAAUAUUGCGCAAUGGGGGAAACCCUGACGCAGCAACGCCGCGUGGAGGAAGAAGGUCUUCGGAUUGUAAACUCCUGUCUUCUGGGACGAAGUAUGACGGUACCAGAGGAGGAAGCCACGGCUAACUACGUGCCAGCAGCCGCGGUAAAAGUGUGUGUACG